GAAGCGGGCCAGACGAUCGCGCGACCAGUCACUACGUGACAGGCGUGAGGAAAGUCCGGGCUCCAUAGGGCAGGAAGCUGGUUAACGGCCAGGCGGGGCGACCCGACGGAUUAGCGCCGCAGAAAAGAAGACUCCCGCUGCCCGCAUUCAUGCGGGUGAGAGAAAAGCUGAAACGGUGGUGUAAGAGACCACCAGCGUCGUGGCAACACGGCGGCUUGGCAAGCCCCUUCCGGAGCAAGCGCGAAUAGGAGCGCCAUGGGCCGGCCCGGCCCGCGCUCGGGUAGCGUGCGAGGAACUGCACGGCGACGUGCAGGCGAGAUAAAUGAUCGUCCACGACAGAACCCGGCUUAUCGGCCCGCCUUCGCCC
rnacentral:RNase_P_RNA from 1 species